AAAGGAUCCCACUAUCCUAAAGAACAAUUGAUUCUGAAAUGAGUCUAGACUCUUCAGUUGACUAUUCAGAAGUCUCCACAAUGGGAUGCUAAGCCACUUUUUGGUCUUAUCUCCCUCAUUCCCCUAAACAAAUCCAGUGUGGGCCCAUCAUCAUUCCAUGAACAUGCUUUUCCUCUCUCCCUCCUCUGCACCUUGUGCACUCUGGUGAUAUUCUCCCUGGGAUGCCUAUGUGUGUGACCUCCCCCAGUAAAACUCACUCGCCAUCCUGAGCUCAAAUGAGGGCUCCAGGAAGCCUUCCUGAUUUCUUUAGCAGGAAGUUGUCCCCUCUUCUCUGGACUGUUCACGCGGCAUCUCUCACAUGCAGAUACUUGUCUCACCUCUUCCAGCAGACAGUACGGAAAUUUUGCUGUCUGUGUAGCGGUGUGCCUGCCUUUUAUAUAAAGCAGUAAGUACAGCCCUUGAGGAAAAGAGGAAUUUAAAUAACAAGGUUAGAACUAGACGGUUAAAAUCAACUACUGCCUUGGGUUUUCUGGUUGUCAUGGACACAGUAUUUUCUAUUGUUGGUAACUCUGGUCUCUAUGGUGAGCUCGCACUUAGAGCUAGAACCUUAGAAAGGCUACAGAUUGGAUGUGGCUCACUUCAUAUUUCAAUGAAGAGAGGAGAGCAGAUACAGGGAGGAGAGAGAGAUGGGGAAAAGACUAAAAAUAAACGUGUGGCUUUCCAAUGGCUUCCCUCCCCCCAAAAAUAUUACAUUUGAAGUUAGGUUAAAUCUUGUUUUAGAUCUAUCUAUUCCUGUUAAGACUGCAAUAUAAUUGCCUCUACCGUUUGAGUCCCUCCUUACUGCCCUACAAUUCAUGGUAGUUCUUAAAAUGACCAGUUGAAUAUGAAAAGUGAGGGGAAAUAAUCUCAGCCAUAAGGGGAUAGAAUUCCAUGCCAGAAAUUUCAAGGAGUGUGUGCUACGUGUGGUACGGAUAGGACAACACUGAUGAUGAGAUUGAGGGUAGGCUCUCUGAUCUCCCUCCUGGUAAGCGGAUGAGACCCAGAUGGAACUCUCUAGAUUAAGUGAUGAGUUAUGGAGGCAAGGGUAUUGGGGGAAAGUCAGAGGCUUUCAACACCUGGGCUGCCUUUUUCCAAGCAUUGGCUUUAGCCAACAUAAAGCAGUAGCCUCAGGAAAGAGGUAGGGUCCAGCCCUGGCUGGAACUUGGCGUGGUCCACUACCUGACGUUAGCCAAACUGCGAAGAUUGAAGACACAGUCUCCACACAAGACCACUCUCACUUCUGACACCAACUGUUGCUGGAUUGUAAAACUGGAAAUGCAAGUUUAUCUCAACUGGUCCUCUAGCCUAAAAACUGACAGAAAGACACUGAUAGCAAAGGGGCCCACAGUGAGAAAGAACGUUUUCCUUAUCCACAACCCAAACAACAGGAUCAGAAGGACUUUUCUUAGUUCAAAAAUUAGUAAAAAGAAACAAACUAAUAUGGCAUCUGAGAAAGUAUUUUAUAGCUAAGAGGUGAAAAGUUGAGGUGCAGAGGGGAGAAUUCUUCAGGAAAAUAUUUAAUUUAGAAAGGAGGACAAGUUCUAGAAAGCAUCUGCAAUAUAUUCUCAAUAUAAUUAAGGCAUGGACUUGAAGUAAGAGAUGAAUGUGGGUGACAAUACAGCAGAGAUGAUGAGGUAGGUGGAUGAUGAGCAGUCAUAAACGGGGAUUAAAAGAUAAGGAAAAGUUUAGUUGCAGAGUUUAAAUCUUCAAAAAUUCAUAAAGCACAAUCAAACCUGCAUAAAAUCAAAUCAGUGAUGUGGAGAGAAAAUUUGAGAAAGUUUCCCAGAAUGCAAAGGAAAAGGUAUAGGAUGAAAAGGAUGAGAGAAAAAAAUAGUAGACGUUGAGGAGAGAGGUAGGAGGCCCAACAUCAGAUAAUUGGUGACGGUGAGCGAGAUUGGAUGCAACGCUCAGAGAUGUCAGGGGAUGAAACAGAAGGAUACUCCUGAUCUGAGGAAGAAAACUAGCAUCAGGAAAAUAUAACGUUAAAAAAAUGUGUCCACCCUGCAAGAUGGCCCCCAAAGGAUCUCUGCCUGCUGGUGUUCACAUUGUAUACAGGUAGGUCUGUGUGACCAGUGGAAUAUGGCAGAAGUGGUAGUCAGUCACUUCUGAGAUAAAGCUCAUAAAGACACUGUGGCUCUGUCUUGGCUGUUCUUCUUCUCUCUCUCGGAUCACUCUCUGGAGGAAUCGAGCUUUCAUGUCAUGAGCAGCCUUAUGGAGAGGCCCAUGAGGGGAGGAGCCGAGGUCCUUCUACCAACAGCCAUGUGAGGACCCUCCUGCCCCAGCAAACCUUCAGAUGAGGAAACUGAGGCGCUGAAGAGGGAAGUAAUUUGUCAGAGGUGACAAUACUCAUCGAGCUCCUCUCUUAGAGUCCUUCCUAGCUGCCAUGUGAACAAGCUGGAAUUGGCCUACAGGAGCAGAGAUGAGUCUGCCCAGUUGUCCCACCUGAAGCCCCAGCCAUGUGAAAGAGCCCAGUCAAGACCAGGAAGUCUCACGUGCAGCUGACUACAGAUGCAGGAGAGAUCGCAUCCACUCCCAGAACCAUCCAGCUAAGCCCAGCCUAAACUGUUGAUCCACAGAACCGUGAGCCAAAUAAAUAGUUAUUGUUUAAAUCCACAAGGUUUGGAGUGGUUUAUUACAC
ensembl:lncRNA